GCGAGUGAAGCGGCAAAAGCUCAAAUUUGAAAUCUGGCACCUUCGGUGUCCGAGUUGUAAUUUGAAGAAGGUAACUUUGGAGUUGGCUCUUGUCUAUGUUCCUUGGAACAGGACGUCACAGAGGGUGAGAAUCCCGUGCGAUGAGAUGCCCAAUUCUAUGUAAAGUGCUUUCGAAGAGUCGAGUUGUUUGGGAAUGCAGCUCUAAGUGGGUGGUAAAUUCCAUCUAAAGCUAAAUAUUGGCGAGAGACCGAUAGCGAACAAGUACAGUGAUGGAAAGAUGAAAAGAACUUUGAAAAGAGAGUGAAAAAGUACGUGAAAUUGUUGAAAGGGAAGGGCUUGAGAUCAGACUUGGUAUUUUGCGAUCCUUUCCUUUUUGGUUGGGUUCUCCGCAGCUUACUGGGCCAGCAUCGGUUUGGACGGUAGGAUAAUGAUUAAGGAAUGUGGCUCUGCUUCGGUGGAGUGUUAUAGCCUUGGUUGAUGCUGCCUGUCUAGACCGAGGACUGCGUCUUUUGACUAGGAUGUUGGCAUAAUGAUCUUAAGCCACCC
rnacentral:rRNA from 1 species